GGGAGUAGUAAACUACUAGUAAGGUACACCACUGCACAUAGGAGCUUUGAUAACCAAAGUAUGAAUGAAUAUCAAUGUACCAAAUUAUAGGAUGUAAACAUAUAGGUUUCGAGUUAUAUAUGCAUGAUGUAGAUGUAGGUCUAAUUCUCGUAGUUCAUCCCAUUCAAAAGCAAAUUAUAGCUAUACAAUAUUCCAAGACUACAUGGUAUAACACGUAACUCAUGUAAAUAUAUCAUUUGUCUUCAGGUAUCUUGUAUUUGCAGUUUUGAGUAGCCAGUAUUGCAUCUUCAAAGACAAAUGAAUUUUAUGAAUGUGCUGACAUGAAGAGUCUAGAACAAAUGAGGAGUGUCUAUGAUGGUGAGGUUUGUGCGUAUUCAUUGUAAAUCAUAAAGUAGAAAAGGAAUGGUCAUUCAGUUAGAAGAAAAAAGUUUGGAGAGUUAAAGUAUGGAGGAUCUUAGUGUUUGUCUUAUAAGGUUUGUGCAUUAUGCUUAAGCUUAUCCAUGGAAUCUUCUAGAUUAUACAUGCGGCAAAACCCGAUGGAGUGAAGAUAAUAUCCGAUAUCCAACGGCAUUCCCCACAUCUGUACUGUCAGAUUAAUUAGCUUCAUCCAAUGACCAAUAUCCAAAGUUGUUUGAACAAUAUAUAGGGAUAUAGUAAAGGCUCACCAUAGUCACAAUGCUGUUAAUUCAAACUCUGCUGUGUGCAAAGCUAAAAGCCAAAAGCUCUGCUGUGAGUAACAGGCUGCUAUGUUUGAGAACCAACAAUACGUCAGAGUCGAGGUGACUGUAGUUCCUAGUGGCAGUUCCUCAAUCAUGAUGCUUUAGGGCCAAAAUCGCUGUUUUGACCUUUUUGCCUAACUUUAACAUGAUCUGAACCUUUCAGAUUUUUUAGCAUGAUCUGAUCCUUUUGGUAACACAAGCCCCGUGAUGUUUCUGCCUCUCAUAGACACGCCAAAGUAGCCACAGUUUCUGCCAUGAAUAUAUAAGUGGUCACGGGGCCCGUGUUACUGGAAACGCCUCUUGCCGACGUUUCUUCACUGGGCAAAAACACCAAGCCUGAGGCGUUUUCAGUAACGCGUCUCAGUUUGCUGUUUCUGCCCUGCCACGUAGGAGGUCAACAGCUACUGGCCAGGCCAGAAAUGCCGGCAACUUUGGCGUGUCCAGGUGAGGCAGAAACGUCACAAGGCUGGGCGUUUGCCAAAAUGGUCAGAUCGUGCUAAAAUAAUCUGCAAAGGUUCAGAUCAUCCUAAAGUUUUCUGAAACUAACUCUUGUGUGUGUAUGUGCAUUUGUGUAUGCGUCUAUGUUGUGUUGUUAGAAAUAGAAAGGAAGGAAAAAGUACCUCGAAAAAAAGAAGGAAAACAAGUUGGUACGUUUAUUGGAGUUAUAAAAGUGUUAAACAAAGAAUGCUAGGUUUUCGUUUUCAAGCCAUAGCCACCUUCUUUGUUGUUUAGUCAUGUCAGAUCAGUGAUAAUGGAAUAUUCCUUCUUGGUGUUUGGAUAUGCUUUCCUUGAUUAUUGUGUUGAUCCACUUGUGCUAUGCAUCAAUGUACAUGGUAUUAGGAUUCUUUGCUGGUGAGAUCCAUGUGGCAACCCCUACACCAGAAGUUCUUCCUUUGUGUUCAUGGUGGGGCUCCAUACCUUCUGUGCCAUGCUUUAGAUUUUAUUCUACGCCAAAAGGCUAUGGUUAAUUAGCCACUUUGAGUCUCAUGUCCAGCUCUGCAACCACCUAAAGUCGAAGAGGAAUUCACAUUUGUUUAGUUGUUUCUGUUGAAUCUGAAGUUGGAAAUUUAUCUUUAAUUCUCUAGAAAGAUUUUAGAAGUGUGAACUAAACAGCUUCAACAUGACGAACUACUAGAAGAUAAAAGAUCUCCAUGAAGUUGGAAGGAGUACUAGAAGAUUUACUGAUUGAUUUUAUCCAAGUUUCAUGAAGAAUGUAGACAGGACAUUUUCUUGCUUCCAGCCUGGAUUCCAGAGCAUGGCCAUUUCACACCUCCAGUCAGCUACCUGGAAGAUUGACAAUUUUCGGGAUGAAAAGAUCCAUGUUCCAUUUCAUAGGAGUACCUCUCUUUUUCAUUACACGCAUGCAGCGUGCAGCGUGCUGCUGUCAAAUAUCCGAGGUCCCUGAUUUGCCAUUUCCAUUUCCAAUUGCAUUAUAUCAGUCAACUUUGUGCUGUAUGGUGUUGGUCCGAAGUUUCCUUAUCUUUGUUGCUUAAUUGAGCUGCUGGUGCGGUCGUUUUC